CUGGUGUUGAAGGCCCUGCAAAGCAGCAUCGCGGUGGCGGAGCGUCGUUUGCGACGCCCAACACACAAAACAAGCGGUGAAUGCUUUGGGGUGGGGUGACUGCGUACCUUUUGUAUAAUGGGUCAGCGACUUAUAUUCUGUAGCAAGGUUAACCGAAUAGGGGAGCCGGAGGGAAACCGAGUCUUAAUUGGGCGUUAAGUUGCAGGGUAUAGACCCGAAACCCGGUGAUCUAGCCAUGGGCAGGUUGAAGGUUGGGUAACACUAACUGGAGGACCGAACCGACUAAUGUUGAAAAAUUAGCGGAUGACCUGUGGCUGGGGGUGAAAGGCCAAUCAAACCGGGAGAUAGCUGGUUCUCCCCGAAAGCUAUUUAGGUAGCGCCUCGUGAAUUCAUCUCCGGGGGUAGAGCACUGUUUCGGCUAGGGGGCCAUCCCGGCUUACCAACCCGAUGCAAACUGCGAAUACCGGAGAAUGUUAUCACGGGAGACACACGGCGGGUGCUAACGUCCGUCGUGAAGAGGGAAACAACCCAGACCGCCAGCUAAGGUCCCAAAGUCAUGGUUAAGUGGGAAACGAUGUGGGAAGGCCCAGACAGCCAGGAUGUUGGCUUAGAAGCAGCCAUCAUUUAAAGAAAGCGUAAUAGCUCACUGGUCGAGUCGGCCUGCGCGGAAGAUGUAACGGGGCUAAACCAUGCACCGAAGCUGCGGCAGCGACGCUUAUGCGUUGUUGGGUAGGGGAGCGUUCUGUAAGCCUGCGAAGGUGG
rnacentral:rRNA from 1 species